GGGCUCCCGGGGCGAUGCAGGCUGUGUCACUGGGAGCACCCAGGGCCAGAUGGGUGCAGACCGGGGCGGUGACAAUGCCCGAGGGACCCACACGGCUCACACCCACACGUUAACUCCUGGUUCUUCGGAGCUUUUACUCCAGCAAGUUUUGUACCAAGCCCAGCGCUUUUCACGCAUUACCAAAUUCGCUCUUCCCUGGAAGUUUCGAUCAGCCAACAACCAAUUACUGAGCAUCUACCAUGUGCUAGGCGCUGCGGAUGCAGAAUAUGUGCCACAGCCCCGCCUGCAGAGGACUCACGGUCCAGUGCUCACAGGCGAGCCAAGAAUGGCUAUAGCGCGGCGUGAUGAGACCCCAGCAGCUCCAGGCACCCGGCCGCCUUUGAAGAAACAUCUGGCAAAUGCGUGAAAGCCACGCUCGUGACAGGGAGAAGAUAAAGUUGCUGGAGAAGGCACGUUCCAGUUCUCCUCGGGCGUUCUUCACAGAGGACGUCACACACUGAGCCGGGCCUUGAAGAUGAAGUGCUCCUCUCCGUGGGGAAGGGAGGCGGGCGUGCCACGGAGUGUUGGCCCCACGCCCAUCCCUCGGCACUGGUGUUUCCGUGCACGCCAGCCCCACCCAACGGCCGGCUCCAGGAGCCCUGUGUCUGAGGGUUUGUCCCACCUGGGCUUGCUCUGCCCUCUCCAGGGGCAGACAGGAAGGGGCUGGGGGCGCUCCCUCCCAGGAAGCCGGGAACUGCCAACACACAGGAGCUGGGCAUCAAUACCCCGGCUCUUUCCCGUCUCUGGCGGAGAACUCGGAGAUGCGUCUGGGAUCUGCCACGGCCUCCAGUGGGCUGAGGCCCGGCCACCCGCGGCGGGAGCUGCCACUGAGGAUGCGUCCUCUAUGGCUGCCUUCCUCCCUCGCUCCUUCCUCCGGCUCCCCAGCCAGGGCAUCCUGCCCGCACCAAGUAGACUUCUCAUCUUGGGGUCAGCUGCCAGGGGAAGCUGGACCACGACAGCAGGACAGUCAAAGUUUUCUUUGAAAGAAGAGCAGAGAGGAGUGUGGGUCGCUGACAAGCUGCAUUCCUGAAAUGCGGGAAGUGACCCAAUCAAUGAGGAGGCUGGGAAUCUGGCCGUGGCCACCCCUUCUGGCCUGCUUUGGACCAGCCCAGCGGAGAAUGUUAUCAUCCUCAUCUUGCAGACAAAGCCUCCGAUGCCCAGAGGAGGGGAGCUCACUCGGAAACACAGAGCCGGCAACCCCUGGCACAUCUCUUGUCCAACCUGGAGCUGGGCAUCGGCAGGAACUGAUCGCUUCCUGCGGCGGGCGGGUCCCGGGAAGGCCGGGGAGGCCCCGGCUGUGAAGAUGGAGGGAACGCCCACGGGCCACCGUGGGGAGACCCAGGGAAGGGCCACAUACGUCCAGCGUCUUGUGGGCGCCAGGGACAUUCCUCACGUAACCUGGCCGCAGCUUGCAAGGUGAGCACGCCUGACUUCACUUGACAGAGGAGAAAAGAGAGGCGUCUGGGAAGGACUUGACCUUCAGCCCGGGUCAUCCGCAGGGUCCUGGGGAGCGUGGAAACCUGGGUCCCAGGGUCCCCGCUGCCCUUGCUUUCAGGGUCAUGUGGGACAAGCCACACGCCCUUCUCUACAGCCUCGAAGGCUCAGAGACAAAAAUGGAGGCUGGGGCUGAACUAGUCAGCGCCUCUCAAGUCGGGCACGUGUGAGAAUCCUCGGCAGGGCUUGUGAGAGCAGAUGGUGGGGCCCACCCAAGUGAUGAAUCUCUGAUGCCUGGGGUCAUGGACGCGGCUCCUGCGUGCGUCUUUCUCGUGAGUCCCGGGUGAGGAUGCUGUUAGUCCGGGGACCACACUUUGAGAACCACCGGGUAAGAUGAACUCAGACCCCUGUGAGCAGCAUCCUGGAUGGUUUCUUCCCUGUGCCGCUGUGCCCUUGGGCCACCCCGCCAUCCGCCGGCCCCCUCGAGUUCUCAGGGUGUCUGGGAAGCCCAGAGGUCCGAGCUUCAGACUGUGGACUCUACAGCAACGGGGCUGUCUUUCCGCAAUUCAAAUGCAGCGCAGUGAAAAGAUGACAGAGAGCAUCAGGAUCGAUACUCCCGUGAAGAACCGAGGGCAGGGCUGGCGGGUGGCCGUGGGGGUCGAGGUGACAGCUCCCCGGAAGCCCCGGCCCGCCCCCAUUGGGUCGCGGGAUUCAUGCUGCUUCUGCCAGGCUGCUCUGAUGGAUUGGCUCCCCCGGGGGACCCUCCUGACUUGCCGUGGGUAAAUAAAGCCUUUAUUUCCCAGGCCGGUGGGGAAAAAUUUCAGGCCUUCAUAAUUAAGUGUCUGGGUGAAGGGCAGCUGCCGAAUUCUGGCGCUGGGUGCCCGUCAGGCCGGUGAUGGAUGGGCACAACACAUCAUCCCCCCGGCAGCCGGGCUGUGAGCUAUGGGGUCGUAUAUCACGGCAGGGCCGUGUGGCCCGCACCGCACGCGGACGCAGGCAGCCCCACCUUGGGCCUGGGUGGGGUGAAGAGAGGCCCGGGCAGGCCGGGGGUGACAGGGGACCUCUCCUGAUCGCUCACGGGCAGACGAGGAAGCUGAUGGCCACCGCAGCCUGGGCGAGCCCCCAGGCCUGGUAUCUCCGCCGCCCAUGGCCUUCCCACCCACCCGGUCACUCAGGACAGAUUCGGAAGCCAAGCUCAGUUCUGCCUCUUUCCUGACUCCUUCCAUCUAACCCGUCCCCAACGUUCCUGCUCAUUCUGCCCCUAAAUGGCCCUGGAACUCACCUACUUCCCUCCAUCUCACAGUUGUGUCUUCAUCCAAGCCACCACCUCUGUCUCCCUCUUGCUCUGCUCUCCCAGUUGGUGGCACGUCAUCCCUCUCCCUCGAAAGUGGCCAAGUCUGGGUCUCCAGAAGCCUCGCAGCUCCCACUCCCUCUCUCAUUUUUCUGCCAUCGCUGUGAGAAGGACGUGCCCAGGCUAGCCCUCUGGUCCUGGGGGGAGGAUGAGGGACACGUGGAGCAAGGAUCUUCCAGCUAAAGAGCCUGAGCCAAGCCCACCCACCGGCUGACCCCCAGAUGUGUGAGCUGUAAUGACAGAUGGUAGUUCUUACACACCACCACAGUUGGGGGCUGUUUGUUACACAGCAAUAGCUGACUGAUACAUGCAGCCACUGCGUGAUGUGAGCCCUCCGACCUCUCCAAUCCCGUCUGUUACCAUUCUCUCCGUAAAGACUGCUCUUCCCUGCCUCAGGGCCUUUGCCCGUGCUGUGCCCACCCCCUGGAAGCCUUUUUCAUGGUUAUCUUCUUUCUAUUCUUUAGGCCUUGGGAUAAAUGCCACCUCCUCAGAGACACUUUCCAAACCAUUCUAUCAAAAAGAGGUUUUGACAUUCUCUAUUUCAGUCUCCCAUUUAUAUGUCCUUUGUGAAACAGAAUUUUUUUGGAAUUAUUUUAGUUUUCUCUCCUCACUUCCCCUACCCCUAACUCUAUUUUUUGCCUUGAUCUCCUUCUCAGCACCACGGGCCUAUGAUGGCAGGGGCCAGGUCUCAGGUCUCUUGUUCACAGCUGUGUCCCCAGCACUGAGCUUGCUGCCUGGACACAGUGGGUCCCCCACCAAUAUGUGUAAGUGGAUGUCACACAGUGUGUUCACAUGGCACCGAGCUGACACCAGGUGCUUGUGGCUUCCUGUGAGCCCCUGUGUCUGGCUGAAAAUGCCUUUCGAUGUGAUGGGAAGGCCAGAACUGCUGCUGGGAGCACCGGGAACAAGGGGACACUGGGUGUGGGCUCCACCAGGCAGGUCAGGGACACAUACCUGGCCUGUCACCCUCCUUUCCCCACAGCUCACACUGUACCUGGCCCAGAGCUGGCUCCAACCCUAUAGGAUCCGAGGAUGAAAGAAGAGGGCUCCUCCCUCAGGGUGAGAUGGCCCUCCAGGGGGUCGUGGGCCUUUGAAGUGCUGAGCACAUUGCAGAGGUCACGGCCCUGGGAGGAGCUGCGUCUCUGUCCCGGUUCUGUGGGACACUAAUGCCCUCCUGGGCUUCACAAAGUUAUUCAUUCUCUUUCCUGCAGACCUUUUCAGAGCCUUCAUAUGCUAAUGCACACUGAGACCCCUGGAGGGGAUGAAGAAUGCCUUGCUGCCCAGCAAUUUUGGCUAGAAAAUCCUUCCAUCAGGGGCCGCCUUGUGGGUUCCUGGUCUGCGGGACAUAUUAGCCUGGAAUAGGGUCCCAGACUGCCCUGUAGGCCAAAUCUAGUCCUUAGAUAUUUUUCAUUUGGUCCUUGUAGGGUUUGGAAAGUCAGCAACUCUGACUAUUUUAUAAAAAGAAUCUAAAAUUCCAGCUUCUCUAAAGGACCAAGAAGAGGUGGGCAUUCUGGGGCCAUAUUCUUGCAUGACAGUAGCCAGGGGCAACUGAAGAGCCUCCAGUUGCUUCAGUUUGCUGUAGUCCCCACCCCUCCCUACUGCCUCACACUCUAUUCUCUUUAUGCAUUUCUUUUCCCUGUUUGGCCAUAAGCCUCUGAAUUUGUUCCCUGUGGCCCAGAAUGUCACGGGAGCUCCGGAAAGCUGGCUUUUGCCCUGGAAGGGAGUAUGAAGGUCUGACUCUCCUUACUGCUUGGCGCAUUUCCUGGGGAAAGGAGGGACCCCGAAGGAUGGCUCUGAGGAAGGUGUCUGGGCCUGUCUGGGGAUAGAAGAUGGCUCCAAUGACAGCCCCACCCUGGACAGGACAAAGGGACAGCAAGAUAAAAGGGACAGCUCAGAUUUCUAGUCAGAGGUCUUUGGGCUGUGGGGACAGAGGUCGGGAGGCUGGUGGAAGGGGACGAGAGCUGAGCCCAGUCCAUAUCUCCCAGCGGCUAAUUGUUUUCCCUCCUUCUUGCCUGAGAGAUCAGGGCUGGCGGAGCUGGUGGGCCGGAUGGGGGAGCCCUGGGGCGGUCAGGAGCCACCCCUGUUGACCCAGGGCUGCGACUGCCAGCCUGGGGGCCUGGGGCUGCCAUUACCCUGGGCACAAGGGUGUGGGUCGAAUUCCAGGGUCCCUGUGGCCAGAAGUUCUAACUGCAAGAGGUAUAUUAUUACUCUGAUUAUUUCUCGAAGAGCACGACCAGAGCUAUAAUUUGGAGAUUUUGGUACUAGGCGCUGUGUUCAGUCUUUCGAAUGCACCAGACCCCAGGUUCUCAAAGUAUGGCCCGCGGGCCAGCGGCAUCUGUGUCACCCGGGAGCUUGUUAGAACUGCCAACUUGGACGUCCCCUGGGGGGCCCAGCGGGCUGUGGGCCGAGGAGCCCGCAGGAGGCUCGGGUCUGGUUGGCUGGACUCACAUGGUGGCCAGGGAGGCAGACGCCACGGCGCCUUGAUUCACAGACAAGGAAACUGAGACUUGGGGAGGCGGAGCCACAUGCUGCGGACUCGACCCCUGGCUGGUCUCACCCCCGGGUCCGGGUUGUGCCCCGGUAAUCAUGCAAAUUCGUCUGCUGGCAAAGUGCCUUCUGGCUUCCCGGCCCAGGGAGCCAUCAUGAGCACAGUGAGGGUGAUAAGGGGUCUUGUUCGGUCUCAGAGACGACAAUUUGAGGACCAGAGAGCAAGUCUCCUAGCCCGACUCAGGCCUCUGGGAGGAAGACCCCAAAUUUUCUAGGAGGGACGGCCACGCAUCCCUGAGGGCCUCUGGGGGCUGGGCACUGUCCACCCUCUCUGCAGCCCAUUGGCUGUACCCAUUUCACAGAUGUGGAAACUGAGGAGGGCCAACGGGCUUGUCUGAGGUCUCACAGAUGGCCAGGGCGGAGCAGAGGUUCCCCCUGCAGGAGGCCUGAGCCCGAGUCUGCUGCACGGGCCCCAGUGCCCCCCAGCCCGGCCUGAGCAGGGGGCCUCGGCUGUCACCGCUGGGAAAGCCACACCCCCAGCUCCAUCCCACUGAGACGCGGUGGGAUGCCCGUGGGUUCCGUCCCUGAGGCCUCGUGCUUGCAUUCCCUCUCCUGGGGUGCCCUCCUGCUCCUUGCCUGACUGGUCCCCUCCUCAGUCCUUCAGGAGCCAGGUCCCACAUCCUUUCCGCUCUGCAGCCUCCCGUGAUCCUCGCCAAAGCGGGACAGGCUCCUGAAUGGGGUCAGCCCCGUGCCUUCCCAGAGGCUGCCCGAAGCCCCCUUUCCUCGGGGCCCUGAGCUCUCUGCGGCCGGCCAGGUCUGUCCCGUUCCCCCACCCCUGCCAGGCGUCUUCCAGGCCUGGCUCCCCGGCCUCCGGAUGCCGGGGUGAGGGAGGGGAGCGCCCUGCCCGGCCCCCUAGGGGCUGUGUCAAGUGGCUGGGGCUCCGUGAAUGGCCACCCUGUCUGAGCUGCCCACUGUGCCUCACCCCCGGCCAUGCGAUCAUGUCCUGUGUGGGGCUUAGGUAAUGGGGUGGCGGGUGGUGGAGUGGGGACCCCACGAGGCUGGCCUGGCCGGGCUGCAGGCUGAGCCGACUUUUCCAGGCCCCGUGGAGCGUGGAUUCCUCCCUCCGUCUGGCCCGGCUGCCAACACAAACACGGGGGCUGUCCUUGCGGGCUCUGGCUGCUGAUGCUGGGGUCAGGACCAGCACACGGGGUCCCCUUGGCCUGGCUGUGGGGAGUUAACCCUUUGCACCCAGCUCUGGCCUCGGGCCUGGGACGCCACGGAAGGGCAGUCGAGGCUGGGGACUCAGUUUCCCCCAGAGCUCCACAAAGCUGCUGGGUCCCUGGUGAGGUCGCAGUGCCAAGGCUGGGCCUUGUGCUUCCCAGAAUGUUCCUUGUCCCACGUCCUCACCUGACAAAUGGGGAAACUGAGACUCAGAAAAGAGAAGGUGGGCUUCUGCGGGAGUCCAUGAGCCCCAAUUUCUACCCCGUCUCUGGCCUGAGCGUUGGUGUGGAAGCAGGAAUUCUGGACACACAGAGGUGUUGGAGACCAUCAUGGAUCAUUCUGCCAGGGGGGAAACUGAGGCCCAGAGAGGAAGAGGGGCUUCCCCGAGCUCCCAUUCCCCCUUUGACAGAUGAGGAAACUGAGGCACAGAGUGGUUAAGCCACUUGAUGAAGGGCACACAGCUUAUCCAUAGUGGAUCCAGGAUUUGCUCCCCAACAGCCGCCCCAGGAGCCGGGCUCCCCUUACAGCCACGGACUCCUGCCACCAGCCCCCUGUGAGCAGCUGUGAUUGUCGCCACUGACACGCCCAGAAGGAGCUGACGGAGGAAUUGCAGAGCGAGGAAUGAGCCAGAGCAUCCAGGAAGUGCCGAUCCCCUGCGGGAUGAGCUUGGAGCUGGGAUGAGGGACACACAGGCAGGAGCUGGAGCAACUGGAACAGGCAGGUGGGUCGGCUUAUCGGGAACGCAGGAUUGUCGUGGGAGGCGGAGAGGAGGUGAGUUUAAGGACCUGAGGGGCGGCCAGUGGUACAGCCGUCCCCUGUAAGCACAGGGGGCCACUGUGUUGGGUGAGCCAGGCCACGUCCCAGGUGCUGUCGGGGGGACGGAGGCAAGCCCCAUGAUGACACGCGGAGGGAACCGCAGGCCGGGCGGGGCCUCUCCUCACUUCCAAGCUUAAAUGUUGCAGGAGGAGCUAAGAUGCUCCUUGGUCCCGAGGGUUUCAAGUCCCAGGAGGAGCUGCUGUCUGUCUCCCCGCAGCGCACGGACUCGCCUCCUGGGUGUCUGUCAGCAGAGGUGAGUUUGACGUCUAAUUGUCGGAGGGAAUUGUGGGUCACCUGGUUUUACGUGAAGCAGGAGGCAGGAGGGGGCGUGGGUGCUGAGUCUCCCCAGGGUGCUGAGCUCAGUCUCCCCAGGAUGCUGAGGAACGAAAUGGGGAGAAGAUCGCAGUUGCUGUGACUGGCCCAGGGCGGCUCGGGGAGGCCAGCCCUCUCCCUAGACCCAUGGGACAGGCUGGUGGGGAAACUGAGGCCCACUGGGGCCAAGGGGCCUCCAUCGCAGCGGGUCUGAGAACCUGGGUCUGGGAGGCCUGGCGCCCACAGCCCGCUGGGGGGUUAUCAGGACGACGAAAUCACGCACAGCGGGGACAGCCCCACGCGCCCGCACCCGCUCAUCACCCCGCUCGCUGUCCCCUUGGCACACCCGGGGGCCGCUUUGGGGGUUUGCUGCCUCUGGGGCUGAGGAGCUGGAGCUCUGCUGUGGCCCCAGACUGCGGGAGCCCUGAGUUUAUUUCCCAUAACGGGUUCUCAUGUUCUGGGGUGUUUCCCGCACAUUCCGUCAGCCCAGCCGAGGCUGGAACACGUGGGCCGUGAGCUCACAGCAGUGUGGGCAGAAAGGCCCGUUUCUUCCUUCCUUGCUUCCUUUCUCUCUCUCUUUCUUUCUUUCUCUCUUUUCUUCUUUUCUUCCUUCCUUCCUUUUCUUUCUUUCUUUCUUUCCCCAUUUCUUAAUGUUUUAGGGAGCCCCCUGCUUUCUAUAGAGAAUGGAUGUGCCUGACCUCCUUUGAGGGGAUGGUCGGAAGCAUCUGGCCAAAGUCCCUCGAGAAGGCGAGUCUAGAAAACUGCUGGCUGGGGGUUCAGUGAUGCCAGGAGGUUGUUCGCUGACCUCCUGUGUGCGCCUCGGCCUCAGUUUCCCCUCUGGAAAGGGGAUUUCGACCAAACGCUCUCUGAGUUUCUUUCUGUUUCAGUCACUUCGUGGCUCAAGGUCGACCCCUCCCUCCAGGUCACGGUCCCACCCUGCCUCCACUGGGGCCUCAUCUGUCUGCCCCUCUGUGCCCACCCCCGGUGGUCCCUCAGUCCCCUGUUCGCCUCCACUGCCCACUUUCUCUCGGUUCUGUCCCCACACGGCUGCUCCUCGCCCUGCCUCACCGUCUCCGUGGAUCGUCCAACCCCAGGAGGCAGUGACAAGGGGCCCAGUCAAAGCUGAGGAAACUGAGGCUCAGAGAGGUAUGGACAGUUGUCCAAGGUCACCCAGCCCUCGAUGACCAAGCUGGGACUCACGCCAGGAGCCUGAUCCAGGCCUGCUCCCCUUUUGCAAAUAUUCAAGAAAAAUUCCCUGCUUUCGCCCACCGUUCAUCACUUCUCCCAGUUUCCAAUUUCAGGGUAAACUCAACUAACCAAACCAGCGAAAGGAAAAACACAAUCUCUUGCUACUCCUUCCUGCUCUGCUCCUUCCAGAAGCCCUGGCAUUCUUUUUUGACGGAUCUGCAGGAGGUGGGGGCCCGGGGAGGGCGGAGGGUCCGCCCGCCGACUCUUUGUGGCCAGCUCAGGGUGGGGGCAGCGUCUCUGAGGUCCCCACGGCAGCCCCCUCCGCUCCCCAGGUCUCCAGCUGGCCGAGGGGGGCCUGGACGCUUGUCAAUGCAUCUUAGCAAUUGGAAUGUGCCCUCUGACCUGCCCUCGCCUCCCCGCGGGGCUCCCUGGGAGCCGGAGGGCCCUGGUGACUUAGAAGGUCAGGGGCUGCGCUUUCUAGAACGUGCCAAAGGCUUGGAAGGAGCCUCUGAGCUGAGAGGAAGGACAGGGAGGGAGCUGUCUGAAAGCAAAGGAUGGAAAACUCUGAGCACCAAGAUCUCGGCCGCUUCUCCCCUUCAACUGGAUGAGCACUUUCUGCGACAGCAAAGGGGGCAUCCCAGCCUCCUUCACCCCCCGGCCAGGCCCACCGGCCCUGGGCCACCCCCGCCUGCUGAGGCUGGAGGGCUCCACAGCCAGGCGGGGAGGGCGCGAGUCUCGAGGCCGCCAUUCCUGUGUGUGGCCUCAGCGAAGGGGUCCCCUCACGUGGGCACCCCGUCCUCCUGGGUCUCUCCUCCCAGUCAGGGCUCGGCUCACCGUUUCUGCCAAGGGCCAGAGAGGAAAUAUUUUAGGUGUCGCCACCUCGGUGAUGCUCAGCUCUGCACGACAGGCGUCCCAGGCCAUCUGUAAUGGAAAGAGUGUGGCCGUGUUCCGAGGAAACUUUAUUUUCAGAAACAGGGCACAGGCUGGAUUGGUCCGCCCGCCCUUGGUGCAGAGUCUUGGGAGAGGGUCCUUGGGGUGGCUGCGUUAUGAGUCCAAGAUGGAGAGCAUAGUUGUGUGAAGAUGGCGGGAAGUCGAAGUGAAUGGCCAAACGCUGGGCUUUGGGCAGGCCUGGGUUUCCAGUCCGAUCUCUGAAGCUUGGCUGCUGUGUGACCCUGGGCCACUUACUUCCCCUCUCUGAGCCCCAGUUCCCUUCUCUGUAAAAUACAAGCAAUAAUAAUACCUACUCUCCAAGGUCUGUUGGGAUGAUGACUUAGCAAGGCCUGGUGCUCGGGGAGCCCUCGGCAAACACGUCAUCGUUUACGUCUGUCGUAG
rnacentral:lncRNA from 1 species